rnacentral:snRNA from 1 species
AUGCUGGAAGCUUCAGCAGCACAUAUACUAAGAUUGGAANGAUACAGAGAAGAUUAGCCUAGACCCUGCCCAAGGAUGACACACCAAAUCCUGAAGGUUUUUCCUCCCUU